rnacentral:rRNA from 1 species
UACGAAGGGGCUAGCGUUGCUCGGAAUCACUGGGCGUAAAGCGCACGUAGGCGGAUUGUUAAGUCAGGGGUGAAAUCCUGGAGCUCAACUCCAGAACUGCCUUUGAUACUGGCGAUCUAGAGUCCGGGAGAGGUGAGUGGAACUGCGAGUGUAGAGGUGAAAUUCGUAGAUAUUCGCAAGAACACCUGAGGCGAAGGCGGGUUGCUGGGCUGAUACUGACGCUGAGGCGCGAAAGCCAGGGGAGCAAACGGG